GGGUGCGACGGCUGGCCGUUGCAGGUUCGGGCUGGUCGGGCCGCCAGCC
rnacentral:ncRNA from 12 species